GAUCAUGGCUCAGGAUGAACGCUAGCGGCAGGCUUAACACAUGCAAGUCGAGGGGCAGCGGGAUGUAGCAAUACAUUGCCGGCGACCGGCGGAUGGGUGCGUAACGCGUAUGCAACCUACCUUAUACAGGGGAAUAACCUUUCGAAAGGGAGACUAACACCCCAUAGUAUUGAUUUAAGGCAUCUUAGAUUAAUUAAAUAUUUAUAGGUAUAAGAUGGGCAUGCGUAUGAUUAGCUAGUUGGUAAGGUAACGGCUUACCAAGGCGACGAUCAUUAGGGGUUCUGAGAGGAAGGUCCCCCACACUGGUACUGAGACACGGACCAGACUCCUACGGGAGGCAGCAGUGAGGAAUAUUGGUCAAUGGGCGCAAGCCUGAACCAGCCAUGCCGCGUGCCAGGAAGACGGCCUUAUGGGUUGUAAACUGCUUUUACAUAAGACUAACCGUAUAUUUGCGAAUAUACCUGAAUGUAUUAUGAGAAUAAGGAUCGGCUAACUCCGUGCCAGCCGCUGC
rnacentral:rRNA from 1 species